rnacentral:rRNA from 1 species
UACGUAGGGGGCAAGCGUUAUCCGGAUUUACUGGGUGUAAAGGGAGCGUAGACGGCAAGGCAAGUCUGAUGUGAAAACCCAGGGCUUAACCUUGGGACUGCAUUGGAAACUGUCUGGCUCGAGUGCCGGAGAGGUAAGCGGAAUUCCUAGUGUAGCGGUGAAAUGCGUAGAUAUUAGGAAGAACACCAGUGGCGAAGGCGGCUUACUGGACGGUAACUGACGUUGAGGCUCGAAAGCGUGGGGAGCAAACAGG